rnacentral:rRNA from 1 species
CCUACGGGAGGCUGCAGUGGGGAAUUUUGCGCAAUGGGCGAAAGCCUGACGCAGCAACGCCGCGUGAGUGAUGAAGGCUUUCGGGUCGUAAAGCUCUGUCAAUGGGAAAGAAGUGUAUUGUGGCUAAUAUCCACGAUACUUGACGGUACCCAUAAAGGAAGCACCGGCUAACUCCGUGCCAGCAGCCGCGGUAAUACGGGGGGUGCAAGCGUUGUUCGGAAUUAUUGGGCGUAAAGCGCGUGUAGGCGAUUUGGUCAGUCUGAUGUGAAAGCCCCGGGCUCAACCCGGGAAGUGCAUUGGAUACUGCCAGACUUGAAUACGGGAGAGGGUAGUGGAAUUCCUAGUGUAGGAGUGAAAUCCGUAGAUAUUAGGAGGAACACCGGUGGCGAAGGCGGCUGCCUGGACCGAUAUUGACGCUGAGACGCGAAAGCGUGGGUAGCAAACAGGAUUAGAUACCCUUGUAGUC